GCAGUUAUAGUUCAGUGGUAGAAUGCAUACCUAGCAUGUGUGAGGCGCUGGGUUCAAUCCUCAGCACCUCA
rnacentral:tRNA from 1 species